GGUUUGUCGCGUUGUUCGUGAAAUCUCACGGCUUAACUGUGAGCGUGCGGGCGAUACGGGCAGACUUGAGUACUGCAGGGGAGACUGGAAUUCCUGGUGUAGCGGUGGAAUGCGCAGAUAUCAGGAGGAACACCGGUGGCGAAGGCGGGUCUCUGGGCAGUAACUGACGCUGAGGAGCGAAAGCGUGGGGAGCGAACAGGAUUAGAUACCCUGGUAGUCCACGCCGUAAACGGUGGGUACUAGGUGUGGGUUUCCUUCCUUGGGAUCCGUGCCGUAGCUAACGCAUUAAGUACCCCGCCUGGGGAGUACGGCCGCAAGGCUAAAACUCAAAGAAAUUGACGGGGGCCCGCACAAGCGGCGGAGCAUGUGGAUUAAUUCGAUGCAACGCGAAGAACCUUACCUGGGUUUGACAUGCACAGGACGCCGGCAGAGAUGUCGGUUCCCUUGUGGCCUGUGUGCAGGUGGUGCAUGGCUGUCGUCAGCUCGUGUCGUGAGAUGUUGGGUUAAGUCCCGCAACGAGCGCAACCCUUGUCUCAUGUUGCCGGCGGGUAAUGCCGGGGGACUCGUGAGAGACUGCCGGGGUCAACUCGGAGGAAGGUGGGGAUGACGUCAAGUCAUCAUGCCCCUUAUGUCCAGGGCUUCACACAUGCUACAAUGGCCGGUACAAAGGGCUGCGAUGCCGCGAGGUUAAGCGAAUCCUUUUAAAGCCGGUCUCAGUUCGGAUCGGGGUCUGCAACUCGACCCCGUGAAGUC
rnacentral:rRNA from 1 species